CACCUUUUGACAUGCCCUGAUCGCCACAGAGAUGUGGUUUUCCCUUCGGGGACAGGGACACAGGUGCUGCAUGGCUGUCGUCAGCUCGUGUCGUGAGAUGUUGGGUUAAGUCCCGCAACGAGCGCAACCCUCGCCAUUAGUUGCCAUCAUUAAGUUGGGCACUCUAAUUGGGACCGCCGGUGGUAAGCCGGAGGAAGGUGGGGAUGACGUCAAGUCCUCAUGGCCCUUAUGUCCAGGGCUACACACGUGCUACAUUGGCACAUACAAAGGGCAGCAAUACCGCGAGGUGGAGCAAAUCCCAGAAAGUGCGCCUCGGUUCGAAUUGGAGGCUGAAACUCGCCUCCAUGAAGGUGGAGUUGCUAGAAUCGCGGAUCAGCAUGCCGCGGU
rnacentral:rRNA from 1 species